UACGUAGGGGGGCGAGCGUUGUCCGAAGUUACUGGGCGUAAAGCGCGCGUAGGCGGGGGGGUUAAGUGAGAGGUGAAAGGCUGGGGCUCAACCUCAUGCAGUGCCUCUCAUACUGGCCCUUCUUUGAGGGCGGUAGGGAGAAGUGGAAUGGCUGGUGUAGCGGGUGAAAAUGCGUAGAUAUUGGGGAGGAACACCGGUGGCGAAGGCGGGUCUCUGGGGCAGUAACUGACGCUGAGGAGCGAAAAGCGUGGGGGAGCGAACAGG
rnacentral:rRNA from 1 species